AACAACCUCAUAACCGCCUCGCACGAACCCUCCCUAUAAAUCCCGCCCCACUCCCUCACUCCAUAUCCACUCCACUUCCCCUCUCUUUCUCUCUCUCUCUCUCUCUAGAAUUAUCCAACAACAAUGGCUUACUCUUUCCUCUACGCCCACAUCUACUUCACCCCCAUUCUCCUCCUCCUCCUCCUCCUCCUCGUCUCCUCCUCGUCUCCUCCUCCUCCUCCUCCUCUCGCCACCACAU
rnacentral:lncRNA from 1 species